GGGGCGUAGCUCAGUUGGGAGAGCACCUGCCUUGCAAGCAGGGGGUCAGGAGUUCGAAUCUCCUCGUCUCC
rnacentral:tRNA from 1 species